rnacentral:rRNA from 1 species
ACGGAAGGCAGCAGUGAGGAAUAUUGGUCAAUGGACGGAAGUCUGAACCAGCCAAGUCGCGUGAAGGAUGAAGGUAUUAUGUAUUGUAAACUUCUUUAGCAGUGGAGUAAUAAGGGGAUCGCGAUCCCUGAUGCAAGUACACUGAGAAUAAGGAUCGGCUAACUCCGUGCCAGCAGCCGCGGUAAUACGGAGGAUCCGAGCGUUAUCCGGAUUUAUUGGGUUUAAAGGGUGCGCAGGCGGCUUUUUAAGUCAGUGGUUAAAUCGUUACGCUCAACGUCAUCACGCCAUUGAUACUGGAGAGCUUGAUUGCGGUCGAGGUUUGCGGAAUUCGUUGUGUAGCGGUGAAAUGCAUAGAUAUGACGAAGAACACCGAUUGCGUAGGCAGCAGACCAGGCCGUAAAUGACGCUCAUGCACGAAAGUGCGGGGAUCGAACAGGAUUAGAUACCCUGGUA